GUUGCUUCGGCGGUGCGCUCCCCCCGGGGGCAGCCGCCGGAGACCACACCGAACCUCUUGUUAUAGCGUGUCGUCUGAGCUUGAUACAAGCAAACAUUAAAACUUUCAACAAUGGAUCUCUUGGUUCCGGCAUCGAUGAAGAACGCAGCGAACUGCGAUAAGUAAUGUGAAUUGCAGAAUUCAGUGAAUCAUCGAGUCUUUGAACGCACAUUGCGCCCCCUGGCAUUCCGGGGGGCAUGCCUGUCCGAGCGUCAUUGCUGCCCUUCAAGCCCGGCUUGNGUGUUGGGUCNUCNUCCCCCCCGGGGGANGGGCCCGAAAGGCAGCGGCGGNACCGCGUCCUGGUCCUCGAGCGUAUGGGGCUUUGUCACCCNCUCGUUUARGGCCGGCCGGGCGCCAGCCGGCGUCUCCAAACCUUUUAUUCCAGGUUGACCUCGGAUCAGGUAGG
rnacentral:rRNA from 1 species